GACCUGCUCUCCCCAGGGUGUCUGCAGGGCGCCAUAUAUCUGGAAGGCAUUGGUUUCCCACGUAACGUGGCUCAUAAAGAGCUUGCAAUGGGAGCGAAGCCCUUAGCUCUGCCAUUUUCUUGCUGUUCACAUGUGCUUGCAUUUUCCUAUAAUCCUAAAUCUGCUAUUUCUCUGCAGUAAUCUUCUACAAUAAUUCUCCUUUUUGCGAGAAUGUUCAGAUGAAAUUGGACAAUGUAAUCUGUAAAUCCAUAAACAAGUAAAUUGAGUCGAUAAACCUGAAUCUGCUGAGGUGGAACACAGGAGUGAGAGAGCUGCUCUAAUCCCUCGCAUAUGAAAGGAGUCUUCACUCCUCCCUCCUACGUGGCCCAUGAUAUGUGGUCACCUGACAUGUGGAGAGUGAGGAGGCCAACUCAAGACAUACAGUAACUAUCUGUAAGGUGUCAUGUCUUCCUUAUUUUGAAAUAAAUAAAUGUAAUUAGCCAUUUCAGUGUUUCCUCCAGACCCCAGUGUGCCAACUUGUGAUCCUCUGAGAGCAGCGUCCCCCUCCCCCCGACUUGGACAUCACUGCUCUUCCUUGCAGUGAGGAUCAAGGUUUCCCAAAUACCCACAGUGCUCGGUUCAGACAUGGGUGUGAGACCCAAACGAGCCAGGCAGAACUUCUCAGCCAGAUACUUGAACAGAAAUGGCAGUUUGUGGAUUCCUUCCUUCUGGAUUCCUGGAAUCACACGCUUCUCGGUUGUUCACUUGUCCAUUCAGUUCUUUAGUUGACCACACACAUACCCUUCAAAAACUUGAUUUUUCUAUAAAUUAUCAAAACUUGGUUUCUCCUGCUGAUAACCACAGAACCUGAAUCGAGAUGUGUGAAAUUAGCAGUCUGCAUGACAUAGUCCCUGCCUACUUCUGCCAUCUCAGGUCUCAUCACCUCCUCAGGUCUCAUCACCUCCUCAGGUCUCAUCCUCUACUCAGGUGCUUUCUUUGCAGUGGCAAUGGAAACACAGGAUCCUUGUUAUGUGCUUUUUCACUAACGACACUUUACAAAUGCCCUCUCCCUUUCUGGACAACUUCCACGAGCCUCUAUUCCCCCUAACUCCUUCACAUUUUCAAUGCUCAGCUCAGAUAUCAUUACCUCCCUGAAAGGAUUUUCUCUUCUCUACCGUCACACUGGGUGGAUUUUCAAUAAUCUAGAAUGAUUUCAGUACUAUUUAUGCCAUAUACAAACUUGAUUUUCCAGUCUGUCACCCUUCACUGGACUAUGAAUUUUGUGAAUGAAACACCCUAUGGUCGGCACACAUGUGGAAAGAGAAAAGAAAUGUAAGAACGUAGAAUCAUGCUGUAGGAGGCCCUUUCUACAAAACAUCUCUUUCUAUUCAGGUGUCAUGAUAAAACAGCCUAUGGUGCUUAAAUUAGAUUGACACCAGACUUGCUCCUAUAGUUUAGGUCUAAGACCAGCUCCCUCUCUAAGGAAAAGGCACUUUCUGAUCUUUGUAAUCCCCUGGCCUAAAUAUGAGCCGUUCUCUGGAGGCUGCACCCCUCACGUUUCCUCCUCAUAAGCUCCCUCAGUCAAAGGUUGGGAUGGUUUUAGAGUUAUCUCCAUUUUUGUUUAUGAGGCUUUCUUUUGCAAGUUUAUAAAUUAAAAAUUAUGUUAAUUCUGUUCUCUUACUCCCCAUUCCAGUUCCUUGAUAGAACAUAUGUCAGCUGAUUGUUCUCACGAUGCUUUGACACCGUAGAAUAUGCGUUUCCCCUGCUGCACAUUGGAUUUGCAAUAUUUUGGGCAAUUAAAGCAUUCCAGCUUUUCUUGAAAAGACAAACACCUUACCUGAGGGAUAACUGAGUAAAUGGGAGGAGCGGAAUUUAAACACACGGCUAUCAAAUGUGCAUGAACCAUAGUGAUCCCUCAGCUGCCAAAGGCACAGGAAGUACAUUGACCUAGGAGAACAAGACAAUCUCGAUGAGCCUGAUUUCUUGGAGUAGCUUCAUCAUUUGGUUGGAAAGAUGGAUGUUAACAGGUCGCAAACCUCAUAUCUCAUAGCUUUGUCACCAGCAUAAACUGCUACUCUCAGAAUGAGUAUCUUUCCAAGUUGAGUUUCCACAGUGCAACAUCAUUUAUUUGUAAGACCAUGAUCCCGAAACACCAGCCAACUAGUUCAUUUAAUGGCCACUUGAAGAAACAGCUGUCUUUUCCAAUCCUGGAGACUAAUCUGGCUAUGUUGGAUUUAUUGAGAAAAGCUAUGUUGUUGUCCAACUUGGCAUAUAAAUAUGGCUAUUUGUAAUAUAUUGUAAAAACAAUUCAAGCGGAUUUCAAGGAUAUUCCUUCCUUGUAAGUUGUCUUUAAAGCUUAUUUCCUUUGAAAUCUAAGGAGACAUAAAAUAGUGGCUCUUUAGCCUGCGUUGGGUGGGUGGGAGGACAGAGAGGUAAUAACUAAAGGAUACCAAGUUUCUUUUUGAAGGGAUGGAAAGUUUUUAAAAUUUACUGGUGAUGGUUGCACAUAUCUAUAAAUAUACUACAGACA